GCAGCUCCGAAACAAUUAUCCUUUCUGUAAAAAGCAAGUAGGCUUAGAGUUUAAGUAAUUGUAGAAUUAACGAUUCGGUGUGCCCAUUGUUUUAAAAGCUUAUUGUUUAGAAAGAUCUAUUUUCAUCCACAAGCAUACUUUACAGCUAAAUUUUUGAGGGUGGAUAUCAAGCUAAUGGAAAAAAAUGGAUCGCUGUAUUUGCUAGAGAACUGGUCCCUUGAAGUUUCCGGAGCAGAAUCCUUCAGUUCAUUAAAGCACUUGUCUACAGAAGUGGGUCUGUUCGCAAAGUCUGCAUCGAGUGCUGUGAGUUUUUCAAUGAAAUGUUCAGGAGAGGCAGGAGCCCUACAAAAAUACAAAAAUCCAUAAAUCAAGUUGCAAAGAAUUUCCUGGAGCUGAAUUUUGAACUGGCAUUAUGCAAAAUAAUGAUUUUCUUCUAUGAUUAUUUUCCCCGUAGAGGUUUAACAAAUCAUGCUCACAAAAUAAAUGAUCUGACUUGCCUACUUACUCAAAUUCACCAUUCAUAAUCAUACUUUAAUGGAGAUGAAUGAUUUUCUUGUGGUGUCAUUCACUAAAUCAUAUUUUAAUGGAACAGGAUGAUUUUCUUGUAGUGUGAUUCUAAAAGGCAUCUGAAAUGAGUAUUCAUGCUUCAAGACUUAAGAGACCCUGCGCAAUCUAAAAGACGUGCGCUCCACCUCACCAAAAAUGUAUCAAAUAGCAUGAAUUUACAGAGGUUCACAGCUAAACAGCCUAAAAUGAUUUCAUUCACAUCAUACAGGCAUGACUGAGAGGCCAUUGCAUUGUGGACUGUUUCACAAAAUAAGAGGAUUGUUCAAAAACUUGAGUUUGAAGACAGGCUUGCGAAGGGACUGUCAGACAAUUUGUUUUUUAUCAAGGAUAGUGACAUUAGCUGACUGCUCUGAUUUUGGAAGAAUCAUACGGAUUGAGUGAGACAAAUGCUGAGAUUCUUCGAGUGUUACCUGAUAGGGGAGCAUAUCAAACAUUAGUGUUAUCCUGCACAAGAAGAGCAUACCAUCGGCUCCCUACUUAGUAAACGCCUGUCUAUCAGAAAA